rnacentral:lncRNA from 1 species
AAAAGAAAAGAAAAGAUAAUGAAGCAAUCAAUAACAAUAGGAAGAAAAAUAAUACUGACACUGAGUUGGUCCUGCCAGCUGCCAUGUUGUGAAUAUGGAGAAGCCAGAAUGGGGAGGAACUCAGGCCUGCCAACAGCUGCAUGAGUGAGCCUGGAAGCAGAUCCUCCAGCCUCAGUAGACCCUUGAGAUAACUGCAAUCUCACGAGAGACCUCGAACCAGAGUGCUGUGCUAGAGUUGGAUUUCAGCCACAGCUUGUUCAUGUUCUUGACCUCUUUUGUGCUAUCCACAACCUGCCCGAUCACAAGCUUCAACCCUGCCUGUUGAGCCUCAGAAAAAUAGAGAAAUGGAGCACAAGUAAUUGUUUACCCUGGGCACGUGGACAAGGUCUGAUACAUUGUCUUUGGAUGAACAGGCUUCAUAUCUUCCUUACCUUGGGGAACUUGCACAAGGCCAACACUUAUACCAGCAAGAACUCAGACAAGAAAGAGAAACGGACCCCAAAGGAGUCAGGUUAGGUUUCAGUCCUGCCCGGCUCGGCAGCAGGUGAAAGAUUGGACACACGCACCGGC